rnacentral:lncRNA from 1 species
UCCAGUUAUGUGUAAAAAUAGUUUAACAUUCAUUAUUGUCAGAUUUUGAAUUUCAAAUUUUCCCCUCUCCUUAUUUUUCUUUUCCUCCCCAAGACAGCAAGUAAUAUAAUAUAGCAUUAUUUUAUAAAUCAAAGAAGAAAACAAUUGCUCGACAAUUCACCUACAUCAUGGCAUUUUAUAUUCUUGUAUUAAAAGACUUCUUUAGAUAAUUACAUCACCUACCAAAUCGAGCUAGCACUAUGUGGCUUGGGCAAACUACAUGCUCAAUAGGAUAGAAGACAGGUUGGAUUGGCAUUCUAUUAACCCCGUUAUAUUUUCACCUGUCUACAAUGGGAUUCAAAAUAAUAGCACUGAAUGAACCCGGAUUUCUUCUCUUGAGUCCAAGAUUCAAUAGAAUUCGAUGUGAUUUUGAUGUCGAGUGAUUUCCUAUUAUGUUCUGAAAACCAGUCAUCCAUAGGUAACUUUCUGUUAACCUGAGUAUAUAUUUAAUUAACAAGCAAUUGUAUUCCCAGUCACUCCUGGUAACAAGGGGUAAGCUUUGAUUUAUUAUUUGUACUUCUAGAAAUCAGAGUCAAUCUUACUGGCAAACUGGGAAAUUUUAAGGUGGAAAAUGAGUUAUUAAAUCAGUUGCAUCUGACGCCUCCCAAUAUGCUCCUUCACCCAAAACUAGGCUCCGUGGAACUGGGCUGGGAAGAAUGGAAUCACUUAGGUUGAAAGUGAGACAAAUAAAAGGGUGGCUGAUGCAAGGUGAAUGCAUAGCAUAGCAAAAGGGUUUCAAAAAUGGGCAAUGAAAACCUAGACUUGUGUAUUGUAAUUCUCUACUUUUGGUUCACCCAACCUUUUCAUAAUUCUCCUGUUUGACCCUCACAACAAUCCUAUGAGACAGGGCAGACAUUUUCCCUAUUUUUACAGAUUUAAAUAAAAAUGCUGUUCCUGGCAUUUUAUGAAUAAUCCUAUUCUGGAAUAUAAUGGUUAGUGGACAACUCCACAACUCGCCGUUUCUCAAGAAUGGAUUGAUUCAAAGAAUGGAUUGAUGGAUUAUUGAAACUGGUCAACAGUACUGUGGUAAAGAAAAUAUCCAGGGGGCAGCUAGGUGGCAGCUAGGUGGCGCAGUGGAUAGAGAACCAGCCCUGAAGUCAGGAGGACUCGAGUUCAAAUUUGACCUCAGACUUUUCCUGGUUGUGUGAUGCUGGGCAAGUCACUUAACUCCAAUUUCCUCAGCCAAAAAGAAAAGGGGGGGAGGGGGGCAGAGAAAGAUAAGAUGCCCAAGUGGCUUCAGCCUUCUAAAAAUGAAAACAGACCAGCAGGAUGAAUACCGAGAGGAUUGGCGAGACUUACAUGAACUGAUGCCAAGUGAAAUGAGCAGAACCAGGAGAUCAUUAUAUACCUCACCAAUGAUAUUGUAUGAGGAUGUAUUCUGAUGGAAGUGGAUUUCUUCGACAAAGAGAAGAUCUAACUCAGUUUCAAUUGAUCAAGGAUGGACAGAAGCAGCUAUACCCAAACAAAGAACACUAGGAAAUUAAUGUAAACUGCUUGCAUUUUUGUUCUUCCCAGGUUAUUUAUACCUUCUGAAUCCAAUUCUCCCUGUGCAACAAGAGAACUGUUUGGUUCUGCACACAUAUAUUGUAUCCAAGAUCUACUGUAACCUAUUUAACAUGUAUAGGACUGCUUGCCAUCUGGGGGAGGAGGUGGAGGGAGGGAGGGGAAAAAUCGGAACAGAAGUGAGUGCAAGGGAUAAUGUUGUAAAAAAUUACCCUGGCAUGGGUUCUGUCAAUAAAAAGUUAUUAAAAGAAAAGAAAAAAAGGAAAAAAAAAUAAAUAUCAGAGGCAAAAAAAUAAAAUUAAAUUAAAAUUUAAAAAAUGAAAAUGAAAACAGAGCCCUUUGAUUCAAGGGGUUGGAAUGUGUGGGAUUAAAUCCUAGGGAAUUUUACUGUGAAGAAGAGCAACUGAGUGCUGAGAGGGGCAGGAAUCCUGAUUUUGAUUUUAAAAAAUUCAAUAACUCAACACAUUGCAGACACCUCGUAAGCCUUAAAUAAAUGUUGACUGACUGAGAACUCAAAAAGGCAGUCAACCUGAUUUUUCAUGGCUUGGAACACACCCACCUUUAUGACUGGUUCAAAGACCAGCAUACUGCUUCCUCUAACACCAAGCUUAGUAAUGUCAAUAAAGAAUGCAAAAAUAUUCCUACUUUCACUCAGCCCCCUGACUGCCCUUUUUUUUAAAACUCCAAACCUCCUCUUCUAUUAAAAGAAGAAAAACCCUGCUAUCAGCCAGCUACUUUAACAGCUAAUUUAACAUUAUCCUAGAAAGGACAAUGGUCUUUCUAGGUUAAGAUACCUUGAGGGCUUGACUCUAUACCUGGU